GACGAACGCUGGCGGCGCGCUUAACACAUGCAAGUCGAGCGAGAACCAGACCUUCGGUCUGGGAAGCGGCGAACGGGUGAGUAACACGUGGGUAACCCACCCUUGGUACCGGGAUAGCCCGAGGAAACUCGGAUUAAUACCGGAUGGCCCAACAGCUCUUCGGGGCGGUUGGAAAAGGUAGCUUCGGCCUCCGACCAAGGACGGGCCCGCGGCGGAUUAGCUUGUUGGUGAGGUAACGGCUCACCAAGGCUUCGAUCCGUAGCGGUCUGAGAGGACGAUCAGCCACACUGGGACUGAGACACGGCCCAGACUCCUACGGGAGGCAGCAGUGGGGAAUUUUUGGACAAUGGGGGCAACCCUGAUCCAGCCAUGCCGCGUGCGGGAAGAAGGCCUU
rnacentral:rRNA from 1 species